rnacentral:rRNA from 1 species
CGAUGGUACCCGAAGUCGUUUAUUCAACCCGCAAGGGAGACGGACGCCCAAGGUACGAUGGAUGACUAGGAUGAAGUCGUAACAAGGUAGCCGUAGGUGAACCUGCAGAAGGAUCA